ACGGGUGGAGCAAGCGUUGUUCGGAUUUACUGGGCGUAAAGCGCACGCAGGUGGCUGAGUCAGUCGAUUGUGAAAGCCCUGGGCUUAACCUGGGAAUUGCAGUCGAUACUACUCAGCUAGAGUAUGGGAGAGGGUAGUGGAAUUCCCGGUGUAGCGGUGAAAUGCGUAGAUAUCGGGAGGAACAUCAGCGGCGAAGGCGGCUACCUGGCCCAAUACUGACACUCAGGUGCGACAGCGUGGGGAGCGAACAGGA
rnacentral:rRNA from 1 species